CAGGAAGCCUCAUCUAGUAGCAGGACUCAGCUGUGGACUUUAUAACCAGAUCCUUGCCCAAAACUGCUCUGAAGCUAUGAGUGUAAAUUGGCUUUAACAUCACAGGGCAAGAUAACUCCAGCAUGUCAAGCCAAAUAUUAGCUGACUUUUUCACAAAAAUAUUUUCCUAAGUAAAGGAAGCAGAAGAGGCAGAUUAAAACCAAAUCCUGUGUUUAGGCACCAAGCAGCAUUUAUUUAAAUAUGCCUUUUUUUGCAGCUAUGCCAUCCUGUGGAGAGGGUGGGACAAUGAAGCCAAUCAUACAGGAUUUAAUUAGAGCAAAUUCUACUGAAUUUAAGAGAAGGUUUGCCUCUUUAAAACUCAAGGCUCAGAUAUUUCCACCAUCCAGCAGAUGAUCAUUGUUUCUUCCUUGAAGCCUCAUUAAUUGCUCAUAAAAUGUUUUGGGGCAGAAAAUCAAGACUCUUGGAUUAGAAAUAAGCAGUGGCACCCCCUGGCCAGUUUGACUCUGCACAUCAUGAGGAAGGAGAUUGCAGAGUGCACCAGGGACAUUUUAAGGUUCCUGACUUUAGCACAAAGACUGGGGACCUUAUCUUCAUCAGAAGAAAAGUAAUGCAAGGAAAAGUUCAAAAACAGCAGCCAGUAAUGCUGUGUCACAAGACCUCAAGAGGAUUUGAAACUGUCCUCUCAGCAGGCUGCCAUGAAUGUUUGCUUCACUUUGAGAGAGCUGGCUGGUAUAGUUUAUACGAGCAACAAGAAGAACAGGAGCUGCAGUAAGGCAACAUUAACAUCUUGAUAUAUAUGACAAAACAAAAGUCACACCUGCUUCCAGAAAUUGGGAAAUGUGAAAAUUGUUACAAUGGGCAUAGAAGAAAGAGACUGUCAUGCACUCAAGCUUCUUUGGGAAAGUUUUAACAAGAAAACAACAUUUUCUUGUGUGAUCUUCUAGUAGGCUAAUUUUCACAGCUCAUCACUGAGCAAACUCCAGUCUCCAAGCACAUCCAAUGCAGAAGGGAAAUCUUAAUUGGAGAAAGAAAAGACACUGUCCUCUAUGAGCUGAGGCACACAGUACCUUUGAAUAAUCACAUUCCUGAACCGCUUUGGGUUGGCUUCUAGGCUGGAACCUAUGUGAUUCGUGGGGAAGAAUCAGUCAAGCACAAGCUCAAUAGUGGGGAUGUCAAUGUACCAAAAUGGUCAGUAUCAUCUUAAAGACACAAAUUUGGGAGUACUAAAACUGGAUUACAAAGGAACAAUGUUUUAUUUGCAUUAGGAACUGGAACAAUUAUUACUGAGUUGGCAUGCUGUCAUAAUAAAAACAAACCUUGACUUUCUUUCUCUAUCA
rnacentral:lncRNA from 1 species